rnacentral:rRNA from 1 species
AACGAACGCUGGCGGCAUGCCUAACACAUGCAAGUCGAACGAGACCUUCGGGUCUAGUGGCGCACGGGUGCGUAACGCGUGGGAACCUGCCCUUAGGUUCGGAAUAACUCCCCGAAUGGGGUGCUAAUACCGGAUAAUGUCUUCGGACCAAAGAUUUAUCGCCUUUGGAUGGGCCCGCGUUGGAUUAGCUAGUUGGUAGGGUAAAAGCCUACCAAGGCGACGAUCCAUAGCUGGUCUGAGAGGAUGAUCAGCCACACUGGGACUGAGACACGGCCCAGACUCCUACGGGAGGCAGCAGUGGGGAAUAUUGGACAAUGGGCGAAAGCCUGAUCCAGCAAUGCCGCGUGAGUGAUGAAGGCAUUAGGGUUGUAAAGCUCUUUUACCCGGGAUGAUAAUGACAGUACCGGGAGAAUAAGCUCCGGCUAACUCCGUG